GUGAGGAAUAUUGCGCAAUGGAGGCAACUCUGACGCAGCCAUGCCGCGUGCAGGAAGAAGGCGCUACGCGUUGUAAACUGCUUUUAACCGGGAAGAAACCCCAGGACGUGUCCUGGGUUGACGGUACCGGAGGAAUAAGCACCGGCUAACUUCGUGCCAGCAGCCGCGGUAAUACGAAGGGUGCAAGCGUUAUCCGGAUUCAUUGGGUUUAAAGGGUGCGUAGGCGGAGCGUUAAGUCAGUGGUGAAAUCCUGCAGCUUAACUGUAGACUGGCCAUUGAUACUGGCGCUCUUGAGUGCGCUUGAAGUGGGCGGAAUGUGCCGUGUAGCGGUGAAAUGCUUAGAUAUGGCACAGAACACCAAUUGCGAAGGCAGCUCACUAAGGCGAUACUGACGCUGAGGCACGAAAGCGUGGGGAUCGAACAGGAUUAGAUACCCCGGUAGUCC
rnacentral:rRNA from 1 species